AUUAAAACGAUAAAACAGAAAUAUUUCUACAAAUAAAUAAUUAAAUUUAAGAAAACGUAAGAGAUGUUAGUUUCAAGUACAUAUUUAUUCAUACGAUUUAAAUAAAUAAAUUAAUGUAGACAGUACAAAUGUAUGUCUUUGUCUAUGCGUAAAUGCGCUUACGUAUACACAAACACAUAGAUGAAUAAUAGAACAUAAGAGUAAGUGAGAAAGCAUGUUGCACUCUGACCCAAGCAGAGGGACUCAUGCAACAUUUUUAGACAAAUUUAAGAGAGAGGGUAAGGGCCCAAGAAAAUAGACAAAUAAUUGGACAUUUUUUCUCUUAUCUAGAAAAAAUAA